rnacentral:rRNA from 1 species
AUACGUAGGUGGCAAGCGUUGUCCGGAAUUAUUGGGCGUAAAGCGCGCGCAGGCGGUCCUUUAAGUCUGAUGUGAAAGCCCACGGCUCAACCGUGGGGGGUCAUUGGAAACUGGGGGACUUGAGUACAGAAGAGAAGAGUGGAAUUCCACGUGUAGCGGUGAAAUGCGUAGAGAUGUGGAGGAACACCAGUGGCGAAGGCGACUCUUUGGUCUGUAACUGACGCUGAGGCGCGAAAGCGUGGGGAGCAAACA